GUGUGUGUGUGUGUGUGUGUGUAGAUGGUUACUUGUAAAUGGAGGGGCAUUCCUUGAAGUGGUCAUUGUACAGAAGAAUUGGAUGGAUGAGGUUCUCUGUUGGAAUUCACGCCGCACAUUUAUGGCGAUUCUGAGCGUGCAGGCAGACUUCUGCCAGGCUCAGCACAGUGCUUUUGCUGACAAGUGAGCUUGAGGCUUCUAUGUGCCAUAAUUAACAUUGCCUUGAAGACUCCGGACACCAAGAUUGGCCUCAGAAAUAUUUGGCAUAUAUCUAUAUUUUUUUCAUAUUGGAAGCAUAUUCCCUUUAACGACUCCAGCAAAAUUAAGUAUCAAGAAAACACAAGUGCAGAGCGGGUCUAUACUUUCACCUUGCCUCACCAGUGCCUAAAUGUAGGAAAGGCCGCUGAAGUUGCAGGCAGUUGGAAUUUUGGAGGUUGAAGGUAACCAUCUGCAGUCAUUGAGGCCCAAGUUGAA